UUUUGUUGUUUAGUGCCAAAUAAAAAAAAAAUCUUUUAAAAUUUAUCUGAACAAUUGACUAUUUUGAUUUAGUUACUCAAUCUUUUAAAAUUUUGAUUUUAUAAUCUAUUAUUUUAACUUAUUUAAUCUGAGUCAGUCAACGGCACUUUAACUUCAAAAUUUGGAUAUGUCAAUUAUUUUUACAGGUUUAAUUAGUAUACUUUAUACAAUUCUCGCAAGUAUAAAAUCACUGAAGCAAGUAAUUAGCUUAAAUUUUAAAGUCAAGCACAGUAGACACAGCUCAAAUUAAAUAAAUUGAGUAGACAAAUUAGAAUGAUCUAUAAUUCAAAUAAAUUUUAUAUAAUUUUAUCCAAAGAAAAUUAAAGAAAAAGAAAUAAAGUAAU
rnacentral:lncRNA from 1 species